GUCGAACGAUGACGGCCGUGCUUGCACGGUCUGAUUAGUGGCGAACGGGUGAGUAACACGUGAGUAACCUGCCCUUCACUUCGGGAUAACCUCGGGAAAUCGUGGCUAAUACCGGAUAUGAGCUCCUGCCGCAUGGUGGGGGUUGGAAAGAUUUAUCGGUGAGGGAUGGACUCGCGGCCUAUCAGUUUGUUGGUGAGGUAAUGGCUCACCAAGGCGAUGACGGGUAGCCGGCCUGAGAGGGCGACCGGCCACACUGGGACUGAGACACGGCCCAGACUCCUACGGGAGGCAGCAGUGGGGAAUAUUGCACAAUGGGCGAAAGCCUGAUGCAGCGACGCCGCGUGGGGGAUGACGGCCUUCGGGUUGUAAACCCCUUUCAGUAGGGAAGAAGCGAAAGUGACGGUACCUGCAGAAGAAGCGCCGGCUAACUACGUGCCAGCAGCCGCGGUAAUACGUAGGGCGCAAGCGUUGUCCGGAAUUAUUGGGCGUAAAGAGCUCGUAGGUGGCUUGUCGCGUCUGCCGUGAAAACCCGAGGCUCAACCUCGGGCGUGCGGUGGGUACGGGCAGGCUAGAGUGUGGUAGGGGAGACUGGAACUCCUGGUGUAGCGGUGAAAUGCGCAGAUAUCAGGAAGAACACCGAUGGCGAAGGCAGGUCUCUGGGCCAUUACUGACACUGAGGAGCGAAAGCAUGGGUAGCGAACAGGAUUAGAUACCCUGGUAGUCCAUGCCGUAA
rnacentral:rRNA from 1 species